GACGAACCGUGCGAACGUUAUUCGGAAUCACUGGGCUUAAAGCGCGUGUAGGCGGGCCGCCGCGUCGGCUGCUGAAAUCCCCCGGCUCAACCGGGGAACGGGCACCGAUACGGGCGGCCUCGAGGGGGGUAGGGGGGCCUGGAACGUUCCGGUGGAGCGGUGAAAUGCGUUGAGAUCGGAAGGAACGCCCGUGGCGAAAGCGAGGCCCUGGACCCUUACUGACGCUGAGACGCGAAAGCCAGGGGAGCGAACGGG
rnacentral:rRNA from 1 species